rnacentral:rRNA from 1 species
AGAGUUUGAUCCUGGCUCAGGACGAACGCUGGCGGCGUGCUUAACACAUGCAAGUCGAACGAGGUCCAACCGGUAGCAAUACCGGUGAAGACCUAGUGGCGAACGGGUGAGUAACACGUGAGCAACCUGCCCCGAAGACCGGGAUAACAGCGGGAAACCGCUGCUAAUACCGGAUGUCCCCAUUGGGUCGCAUGGCCCGA